rnacentral:lncRNA from 1 species
CUCGGCCUCCCAAAGUGCUGGGAUUACAGUUUCUAGAAGAGUGAAUCACUAAGUACACACUUAAGGGACAGAGAAUUGAGCUCCACCUCUUGGAAAGAGGCAUAUAAAUGAGUGUAGAAAGAUGUUAAAGCCACCACACAAUUAAUAAAUGUUUAGGAGAAGAUACAUUGAGGCUAUGUACAUAUCCCAUUUCUCCUUAAAUUUUCUCCCAGGAUGAUGUCCUAUUUUCCCUGUCCCAGUGCUAGAAGCAGUUAUUUCUCCUUUUACUAGGGAAUGGUAUUUAGAAACAAUCUGGGCACUAGGCAUGUUUGUCACUACUACUGGGAUGUCACUGCAUCAAGGCCCCCUCGGCAUACAGAGCUGUGCAAUAUGCAUAACAUAUCUAUAUUUAUUUCUGUUAUCUACCUGUAUAUAUGUAUUAAACUAAACAUGAGUCCCCACUGAUACCUCUGACUCAGUCAACACAGGGUUCACUCUAGCCUUCCUCUGUUGCUUAUUUUUAACUUCUUCCUCUGAUAGUAAGAAACCUGGUGCCAAGGGCUGAACUGUGUCCCCCACAAAAUUCAUAUGUUGAAACUCUAAUCUGCAGGACCUCAGACUAUAACCAUAUUUGAGAUAGGGUCUUUAAAGAGGUAAUUAAAUUAAAAUACGGUCACUAG